rnacentral:rRNA from 1 species
UGAGGAAUAUUGCGCAAUGGGCGAAAGCCUGACGCAGCGACGCCGCGUGGGGGAUGAAGGUCUUCGGAUUGUAAACCCCUUUCGGGUGGGAAGACGGCCCUAGACAACUAGGGCGGACGGUACCGCCAGAAGCAGCCCCGGCUAACUACGUGCCAGCAGCCGCGGUAAUACGUAGGGGGCGAGCGUUGUCCGGAUUUAUUGGGCGUAAAGAGCGCGUAGGUGGUUUGUAAAGUCGGAUGUGAAAGUCCAGGGCUCAACCCUGGGAUGCCAUUCGAUACUUGCAGGCUAGAGCACGGUAGGGGGAUCUGGAAUUCCUGGUGUAGCGGUGAAAUGCGCAGAUAUCAGGAGGAACACCGGUGGCGAAGGCGGGAUCCUGGGCCGUUGCUGACACUGAGGCGCG